rnacentral:rRNA from 1 species
GAUGAACGCUGGCGGCGUGCCUAAUACAUGCAAGUCGAGCGAACAGACGAGAGUGCUUGCCCUCUCUGACGUUAGCGGCGGACGGGUGAGUCACACGUGGGUAACCUACCUAUAAGACUGGGAUAACUUCGGGAAACCGGAGCUAAUCCCGGAUAAUAUUUAGCUUCGCAUGAAGCAAUAGUGAAAGACGGUUCUGCUGUCACUUAUAGAUGGACCCGCGGUGUAUUAGCUAGUUGGUGAGGUAACGGCUCACCAAGGCAACGAUACAUAGCCGACCUGAGAGGGUGAUCGGCCACACUGGGACUGAGACACGGCCCAGACUCCUACGGGAGGCAGCAGUAGGGAAUCUUCCGCAAUGGACGAAAGUCUGACGGAGCAAUGCCGCGUGAGUGAAGAAGGUUUUCGGAUCGUAAAACUCUGUUGUAAGGGAAGAACAAGUACGUUAGUAACUGAACGUACCUUGACGGUACCUGACCAGAAAGCCACGGCUAACUACGUG